GUCGACGAUGAAGCCCUUCGGGGUGGAUUAGUGGCGAACGGGUGAGUAACACGUGGGCAAUCUGCCCUUCACUCUGGGACAAGCCCUGGAAACGGGGUCUAAUACCGGAUAAUACUCCCGCCUGCAUGGGUGGGGGUUGAAAGCUCCGGCGGUGAAGGAUGAGCCCGCGGCCUAUCAGCUUGUUGGUGGGGUAAUGGCCCACCAAGGCGACGACGGGUAGCCGGCCUGAGAGGGCGACCGGCCACACUGGGACUGAGACACGGCCCAGACUCCUACGGGAGGCAGCAGUGGGGAAUAUUGCACAAUGGGCGAAAGCCUGAUGCAGCGACGCCGCGUGAGGGAUGACGGCCUUCGGGUUGUAAACCUCUUUCAGCAGGGAAGAAGCGAAAGUGACGGUACCUGCAGAAGAAGCGCCGGCUAACUACGUGCCAGCAGCCGCGGUAAUACGUAGGGCGCAAGCGUUGUCCGGAAUUAUUGGGCGUAAAGAGCUCGUANGCGGCUUGUCACGUCGGAUGUGAAAGCCCGAGGCUUAACCUCGGGUCUGCAUUCGAUACGGGCUAGCUAGAGUGUGGUAGGGGAGAUCGGAAUUCCUGGUGUAGCGGU
rnacentral:rRNA from 1 species